rnacentral:rRNA from 1 species
AACGAACGCUGGCGGCAUGCCUAACACAUGCAAGUCGAACGAGACCUUCGGGUCUAGUGGCGCACGGGUGCGUAACGCGUGGGAACCUGCCCUUAGGUUCGGAAUAACUCCCCGAAAGGGGUGCUAAUACCGGAUAAUGUCUUCGGACCAAAGAUUUAUCGCCUUUGGAUGGGCCCGCGUUGGAUUAGCUAGUUGGUAGGGUAAAAGCCUACCAAGGCGACGAUCCAUAGCUGGUCUGAGAGGAUGAUCAGCCACACUGGGAAUGAGACACGGCGCAGCCUCCUACGAGGGGCAGAAGGGGGAAAGAGUGAAGAAGCGUGAGAGACGAAGUGCUUCAAAGCCGGGAGAGUGAUUGAGAGCGAAGAGUGGGAAAGCUAUUUUACCCGGCAUGCUAAGGAGGUUUCUGAAAAAAAAAGCCCCGCUAAAUACGUG